rnacentral:rRNA from 1 species
GUUUUCGGAUGUAACUUAGUGGCGAACGGGUGAGUAACGCGUGAGGAACCUGCCUUUCAGUGGGGGACAACAGUUGGAAACGACUGCUAAUACCGCAUGACACUGUAGUAUCGCAUGAUACAUCAGUCAAAGAUUUAUUGCUGAAAGAUGGCCUCGCGUCUGAUUAGCUAGUUGGUGGGGUAACGGCCCACCAAGGCGACGAUCAGUAGCCGGACUGAGAGGUUGACCGGCCACAUUGGGACUGAGAUACGGCCCAGACUCCUACGGGAGGCAGCAGUGGGGAAUAUUGGGCAAUGGGCGAAAGCCUGACCCAGCAACGCCGCGUGAAGGAAGAAGGCCUUCGGGUUGUAAACUUCUUUUACCAGGGACGAACACAAUGACGGUACCUGGAGAAAAAGCAACGGCUAACUACGUGCCAGCAGCCGCGGUAAUACGUAGGUUGCAAGCGUUGUCCGGAAUUACUGGGUGUAAAGGGCGUGUAGGCGGAGAUGCAAGUCGGGGGUGAAAUCCAUGGGCUCAACCCAUGAACUGCUCUCGAAACUGUAUCCCUUGAGUAUCGGAGAGGCAAGCGGAAUUCCUAGUGUAGCGGUGAAAUGCGUAGAUAUUAGGAGGAACACCAGUGGCGAAGGCGGCUUGCUGGACGACAACUGACGCUGAGGCGCGAAAGCGUGGGGAGCAAACAGGAUUAGAUACCCUGGUAGUCC